rnacentral:rRNA from 1 species
GCCAGCUUGACUGCGAGCGUGACGGCGCGAGCAGGUGCGAAAGCAGGUCAUAGUGAUCCGGUGGUUCUGAAUGGAAGGGCCAUCGCUCAACGGAUAAAAGGUACUCCGGGGAUAACAGGCUGAUACCGCCCAAGAGUUCAUAUCGACGGCGGUGUUUGGCACCUCGAUGUCGGCUCAUCACAUCCUGGGGCUGAAGUAGGUCCCAAGGGUAUGGCUGUUCGCCAUUUAAAGUGGUACGCGAGCUGGGUUUAGAACGUCGUGAGACAGUUCGGUCCCUAUCUGCCGUGGGCGCUGGAGAAUUGAGGGGGGCUGCUCCUAGUACGAGAGGACCGGAGUGGACGCAUCACUGGUGUUCGGGUUGUCAUGCCAAUGGCACUGCCCGGUAGCUAAAUGCGGAAGAGAUAAGUGCUGAAAGCAUCUAAGCACGAAACUUGCCCCGAGAUGAGUUCUCCCUGACUCCUUGAGAGUCCUGAAGGAACGUUGAAGACGACGACGUUGAUAGGCCGGGUGUGUAAGCGCAGCGAUGCGUUGAGCUAACCGGUACUAAUGAACCGUGAGGCUUAACCUUACAACGCCGAAGGUGUUU